AAAAAGAAAAAAACCUCCAAAUUUUUACCGAGUAAAAAAUAAUUUUUUCCAUACAAAAAUUCUUUAUACAUUUCAUAUGCAGCUAGCGCCUAGUGCGAUCUGACAUAUAAAUUAGCUAAUAUACUCUGAAAAGCAAGAUAUUCUAAAAUACUAAUAAAUGUUUGUAACAUUUGUCUCUAAUAGAGUGAGAAACUAAUAAAUU
rnacentral:lncRNA from 1 species